AACAAGGAAGAAUGACUAACAUAAUAGAUUUCUAGGAACAUGAUUACCAUCAUCAACAAGAAAGCAAUUUUUUUAUCAGAUUUGCUGGGUUACAUCAGUUCGUUGAGGACAGAGUACACCUCCUCUUCAGCCACAUUAUUUUGGUGGGUGCACUACCCAGCGGCAUGGUCUCAAUCGGAAAUUCUUCCCUCCGCAACACUUAUUUUCUACUGUUUUCUCCUUGCACGUACAUCAUAAAACAACUUCCGGUGAUAGUCCUCAAAAUGUUGUAACUGGACAUCUUUAAAUGCAGAAGCAUUUGAAGCAGAGAUCUGUUCCAGAAAUAGAAUUAUGAAUACUGAAACUGACUAUUGCAACAGAGAUAUUCAUAUGAACCGAACAGUUGAUUGAAAGGCGAAAGAAUCAUCUCAUUAAGGACUUGAGCGCAACUAAUCAGAAUUUAAUGAGUUGAUCAACUUCUAAGGCUGUACAUAAACAGCUAAUUUAUUCCGGUCUUUAUUGCCAAACUGUCUAUGGAUUAUAGGUUGCUAAAUAAACUGACAGACAAGCUAUUUAUGCGGCUCCUACUUGGCAUUGGUAUCAAAAUAACGAAAGUGUGCACUGAAAAUAAUUUGGUUUGGCAAUCGUCACUUGAAAGGAAUUAGAAUUUGCGAGCGAUGAUAGACACAACUCACUAUAGCAACGGCAGGGAUCAACAGCACCGUCUCACUCCCUCAAACGACCGAUAUAGAUGGGGCGACUUGACACCAUCUUGAGCCGCCUUUUGUAACAGUGUGUCAAGACUUGACCGCCAGAUAGGUAGCCAAUUCGAAGGAACAAAAGUGGAAACUAGAAUGAACCUAUGAGGGCAUCAGCUAGGUGUCAAGAAUUGUGUUAUCCUGUUCUAAAGAAAAAAAUGUGCAGGACCAGUAUAUGAAUUCCAAAUUUUUGUUUUCAAGAAUCAUCAGUCUAAUGUAGAGCUUCACCUAAAUUUGGGGACAAAAUCAAAAUCAAAUACACAGAGCUUAACUUUAAAAACAUUAACACAAUCUCAAAAUUAAAGAAGAUCGCAAAUUUAUUAAGAAUCAGAAAUUCAGAAUAGCCCAAAAGUUGAUGGUUGUACAACCUUAUUAAACACAGCUUCUAGUUUUAUGGAGGACACCAUUAUUUUCAACCCUGUGAAAAUUAAAUCUAAAUCUGAGUUGUAAACUUGUAACGCAGAGCUCAAUUAAAAAGGGAAACACGUGAAGUGUGAACUGUUCCUUACAGCUUUUUCUUUACUGCCAGGUUAUACUUUUAGGUAAUCAAUGGAACUGCUGUUGUUAAAGAGCAAACUAACUAUUAUCCAUUACUUAAAUUAUGUAAUCUAUCUUGCCACUAUAUGACUCUUUUAUGUGCGACCGCCAUAAUCUACUGUUCUUCACAUUACCUAUUCAGAACUUUUCAUUUUAUUAAAGUGUGGAUGGGUAGAUGCCGCCUUAUUACAUCAUAACUGAGGAAGAGUGUCAUGUAAGACCAGGUACAGUUCCUCCCCUGGUGUGCAUUUGCUGAAUUCAGAAACUUGAGAUGAUUAAAAGAAUUCGAUGCAUACUCUCGAAUGUUAUAUAUUAAACUGAUUUCAGUACCUUCCUCAGAGAAAAUUACUAAUGGAAUGGAGUACCAUAACCCACCUCCUUUUUUAUCUUCCCCAUCUAAGUAAAACACCACGACUCUGUUUUUCUUACAGAAAAAUGACUAGGAAAUAAAUACCUACAAUUUUAUAUCACGUCAGUCUAUAGUGUAUUGUUUUUGACGCAUGAUUCAUCUCCAGCUAAAAUGUAAUAGUAUCACAUAAAUAAUUUUGAUCCUGAUAUUUACACAAACAGCUGAUUGGCACAAAGUCACAAACUGGGACAAAUUUCCAUUAUCUAGCACCAAAGGAUGUGCUUUGAGGAAAAUUUAUGCAGGCAGCUAGGGACAUUUCAAUCAACAAAUGGAACAAGAAUAAUUACAAAACUAGAUAUAAGAGUACCGACUGGGUACAUAACCAUGCGGCAAUGCUACACGUACAAACGAUUUACAAACUUUUAUAGGAUGGUUAACCUUGAUUGGUCAAUAGGUGAGCGGGGCGGCCCACCCCCUGAAAAUCAGGGGGGGGAGAGAGGUUUGUGAUUGGUUGUUAGAUGGAAGGAGCGUGUAAAAGCGUGUAAGUCUUUGUAUGUCUAGCAUUUUUGAUAACCAUGCAUACUGACCUAUAAUGGAUUAGACGACUGUGCAGCCCAAGUAGCUUUCAGGCAUGCACCAGACUGAAAUCUUUGUUUAAAAAAAAGCAGACUAAAAUCAGCAUUGGGGUCAGGGAAGAACUGGAGGGGCGCUGUUAGAGGAGUACGCGGCUGAGAGGGAAACACGAUUGCUUGCUCGCAAAGGUUGGAGGCGGAACCUGCAGUGGCGUCGGCAGCGAGGGGUCGCACUAUGCCUGGUGGAAGCACAGGGUACCUAGCACGGCGGGGGAGGGGAGAAAGAUGUGCUUGGGACCGCCGUGAUGGGAGGGGAUACCUGCGCAUCAUGAAGAAGCCCUACCGCCAAGCAGUACUGACGCCUCCGCACAAGCCGAGCCCACGCGCCGGUCACCUCGCGGACGAGCAUCACGACGCUGAGCCGACGCGGACACCAUGGUGAAC
rnacentral:lncRNA from 1 species